GAUGAACGCUGGCGGCGUGCCUAAUACAUGCAAGUCGAGCGAACGGACGAGAAGCUUGCUUCUCUGAUGUUAGCGGCGGACGGGUGAGUAACACGUGGAUAACCUACCUAUAAGACUGGGAUAACUUCGGGAAACCGGAGCUAAUCCCGGAUAAUAUUUUGAACCGCAUGGUUCAAAAGUGAAAGACGGUCUUGCUGUCACUUAUAGAUGGAUCCGGGCUGCAUUAGCUAGUUGGUAAGGUAACGGCUUACCAAGGCAACGAUGCAUAGCCGACCUGAGAGGGUGAUCGGCCACACUGGAACUUGGACACGCACCAGACUCCUACGGGAGGCAGCAGUAGGGAAUCUUCCGCAAUGGGCGAAAGCCUGACGGAGCAACGCCGCGUGAGUGAUGAAGGUCUUCGGAUCGUAAAACUCUGUUAUUAGGGAAGAACAUAUGUGUAAGUAACUGUGCACAUCUUGACGGUACCUAAUCAGAAAGCCACGGCUAACUACGUG
rnacentral:rRNA from 1 species